UGUUGGACGCGCUCCGGCGCACCUCCAGACAACCCUUUGUGAACUUAUACCUAUACUGUUGCCUCGGCGUCAGGCUGGCUCCCCUCGGGGGGUCCCUCACCAUCUCGGUGAGGAGCAGGCCCGCCGGCGGCCAAGUUAACUCUUGUUUUUACACUGAAACUCUGAGAACAAAACAAAAAUGAAUCAAAACUUUCAACAACGGAUCUCUUGGUUCUGGCAUCGAUGAAGAACGCAGCGAAAUGCGAUAAGUAAUGUGAAUUGCAGAAUUCAGUGAAUCAUCGAAUCUUUGAACGCACAUUGCGCCCUCUGGUAUUCCGGAGGGCAUGCCUGUUCGAGCGUCAUUUCAACCCUCAAGCCUGGCUUGGUGAUGGGACACUGCCUUUGAGAAAAGGCAGGUCCUGAAAUUCAGUGGCGAGCUCGCCAGGACCCCGAGCGCAGUAGUUAAACCCUCGCUUUGGAAGGUCUUGGUGCGGCCCUGCCGUUAAACCCCCAACUUCUGAAAAUUUGACCUCGGAUCAGGUAGGAAUACCCGCUGAACUUA
rnacentral:rRNA from 1 species